GCUGAUUAUAAUGGUACAUGCUUGUAGUGCCUCCUGCUGGGGAGACUAAGGUCAGUGGAUUGCUCGAACCUGGAAGUUCUGAGCUGCAAUAGGGCUAAAGCUAAUUAGAUGUCUACGCUGAGUCUGGAAUCAAUAUGGUGAGUCCCUAUAAAUGGGGCAUGGGGACAUCAUGCUGCCUAAGGAGGAGUGAACCAGCCAAGGUCAGAAAUGGAUCAGGUCAAAACUCCAGGGCCAAUCAGCAGUGGAAUUGGGUCAGUGAGUGGUUGUUGCAUUUCCAGUUUGUGAAAGAGAGAAAGAAAGGAAA
rnacentral:SRP_RNA from 1 species